rnacentral:lncRNA from 1 species
AGACAGUGGUCCAUGUCUGCGCCAGAAAGACCUCGCGCAGACGUUUUUUGGUCUACGCACUUCCAAAAAACAAACACUCUGCGAGGGCAUAUGUCUGCGCGUUGUCUGCGAGGCGCAGACAAAAGUGGUUGCACAGCUCUUCACAAAAAAAACAAACAACCCCUUAGAGUGACCGCUUUUAUAAGACUUGACUUUAUCGGUGGAACUAAAAAAAUUAAAGAAUUGUUUAGAUAAAGAGCAAUAGGAAUAAAUAAAAUAAGGAAACUGAUAUUUACAACAUAAAAUUCAAACUUACAAACGCUAACGCAAAGACUGAAGACCAGGAAAUUAUAUGGUCAGUUACGGUAAAAAUAAUAUUAUAUUAACAUUUUCUUUAGUAACAAAGAUAUAUAAUAUUCAUAAAACAUGACCCAUAAAAUCCAUUACAAUAUUCAUACAAAAACCAAAUUCAAAAUAUAUUAGAGAAUAGAGAUGAGGCUGAAAAGAAGCCCACUGAAAUGCUCAUAUACGAUAUGCAUCAUUUUGACAAUUACCAUCUCUUUCGACCCUACAUAACAAAAAGUAGUCAAAAACAAGUAAAAAAUAAUGAUUAUAUGAAAAUGAUAAAGAACAUAAACAAGCAUAGGCUUACAUCAUAAAAUCCAAAAGACAGAAUAUUAGGAGUAGAAAUACGUCAGUUAUGAUUAACUUUUUGUGUAAUUACGAGGAACAUCAAUGUCUUUUUUUUUUUUUUUUUACUGCAAACUAAUAAACUACUACAAAUUAAUAUAAUUUGGUAUGUCUUUUUUUUUUUUUUUUUUUUUUUUUUUUUUUUUUUUUACUGCAAACUAAUAAACUACUACAAAUUAAUAUAAAUUGGUUUAACAAAUUUUACAUAUACGGUCCUAUAUUUUACAUAUUAUUUUUAAUAUAAAUUAUAUAUUUAUGAAUUAUGAUUAUGAAAAUAAUAUAUCGUAUGUUAAUACUAAAUAAAAUAUAUUAUUUCUUAAGAUAUGAGAUUUGCAACUUUUUCUUAGGUAUUGUCUUAUCAAUCAUUCAUAUUUAGUCGUGAAGUAGAUAUAUCAAACUUGUUGAUCAAAUGGAACGAAAUAUUCAAAUAUUAUAUUUAUAACCAUCUCAUUUAUAUGAUGAGGCUCACGCUCCGCAGGGGUCGGAAUGAUUUUUUUUUUCUUUUUGGAUCUAGUCAAAAGAGUGUCGUUAUAGAGAUUGCAUUUGAAAGUAAAAAUUCAUAAUGUUGGUACAUAGGCAAAAGAUGUGAAAUACAUGAAAAACAUUAAAAAAUACGAAAUUGAGUUUCUCUAAUCAUGCGUCGUCCUGAAUAAUUUGAUGCAUCUCUUCAUACAUUUGGUUAGUUUUUUCACCUCUUUACCCCAACAUAACCUAUUAACUAUUUUUAUGGGUGUUGUACUUCAUUAUUUGUACUUUAUUAUCUAUAAAGAAGUGUGAAUACAUUUUAUAGUAACCUUAUCAUAAGUCCUAAUAAAUAAAUUAUCAACAAUCAAAUAGUGGUUUGAAAGAAAGAAUGAGCGGAUGUGCACAAAAUGAAAAUAAAGUGAGAAGUACCAAGAACACAUCGUUAAAAUCAUAACCAAGCAUUACCCAGGUAUUAGAAAAUUCUUUCACUCCAAAGUCAUCGAUCGUCGUGAUGUCAAAUCCGGACACCCCUCUUUAUUAAGCGAUGAAACUGGGUGACACCGCCACCACGGAAACACUUAUGUUGGUUGAAGAUGUUGAGCCACUUCGCAUGUCGCAGUCGCGACUGUGUUUUCCUGCUUCUUGCUUCUCCCACAGAGGUGCCACCGAAACAUAAAUCGGGGAAAACGCAAAAUCGAGAAAGCAAAGUUUGAUAGAAAGUGGAUAAGAUAUGGAACAAAUGGAGAAGAUAGAGAUGAAUGGUGAAAUCAAUCUACAGGUAGCAGGAAGUAGGUGGAAAUGGUGAGACAAAAAUGUGUGGCAUGUAGACAGAUGAAGC